AUGGUAGGUGGAGCAGGUGAUACAAUCUUUAUUUUACAGGUAAAUAUUACAGAGCUCAGAGAACUGAGGAACCUACCCAAGGUUGCCCAGCUAGCCAGUGGUAGAGACACUUCGACCGCUGGCUUUCUGACAGCAAGCACCUCUUUUGGCAGCAGAUGGCGGAGGGAUUUCAAGACCCCAGUUGGAGCCAAAGUUGGUGAAGGACAAGGAGACCCAGUUUUCAAGAACGUGAAGCACUGUAGUACAAAAGCCUGCCUAGGGACACCAGCACCUAACCCAAUAUGCUUUAACAAAUGAGUAAAGGAAGAAUGCCAAGAUUUCCAGCCUGCAAAGCUUUGCCUCUGGGGAAUCUAUGGCCUUCUUGCAAGGGAUCUUCUAGUUUAUAAGCUCACCAACAUAAUUUGAGAUCCAGUGAAAAUGCUAUUUUCACCAUAUGUAUAUGCCACCAUUUUCAAGUGUAUGUAGAUUGGUUGUGACUAAUAAAAUACAAUAAACAAAUUAUAAAUUUAUCAUUUGUAUAUGUAUUAAUAAAAUAC
rnacentral:lncRNA from 1 species